CGAACGAAUGCUCUUCGGAGUGUUAGUGGCGCACGGGUGCGUAACGCGAGGGAAUCUGCCCUUAGGUACGGGAUAACAGCGGGAAACUGCUGCUAAUACCGUAUGAUGACGUAAGUCCAAAGAUUUAUCGCCUAGGGAUGAGCCCGCGUAGGAUUAGCUAGUUGGUGGGGUAAAGGCCUACCAAGGCUACGAUCCUUAGCUGGUCUGAGAGGAUGAUCAGCCACACUGGGACUGAGACACGGCCCAGACUCCUACGGGAGGCAGCAGUGGGGAAUAUUGGACAAUGGGCGAAAGCCUGAUCCAGCAAUGCCGCGUGAGUGAUGAAGGCCUUAGGGUUGUAAAGCUCUUUUACCCGGGAAGAUAAUGACUGUACCGGGAGAAUAAGCCCCGGCUAACUCCGUGCCAGC
rnacentral:rRNA from 1 species